AUUGAACGCUGGCGGCAUGCCUUACACAUGCAAGUCGAACGGUAACAGGUCUUCGGAUGCUGACGAGUGGCGAACGGGUGAGUAAUACAUCGGAACGUGCCCGAGAGUGGGGGAUAACGAAGCGAAAGCUUUGCUAAUACCGCAUACGAUCUCAGGAUGAAAGCAGGGGACCGCAAGGCCUUGCGCUCACGGAGCGGCCGAUGGCAGAUUAGGUAGUUGGUGGGAUAAAAGCUUACCAAGCCGACGGUCUGUAGCUGGUCUGAGAGGACGACCAGCCACACUGGGACUGAGACACGGCCCAGACUCCUACGGGAGGCAGCAGUGGGGAAUUUUGGACAAUGGGCGCAAGCCUGAUCCAGCCAUGCCGCGUGCAGGAUGAAGGCCUUCGGGUUGUAAACUGCUUUUGUACGGAACGAAAAGACUCUGGUUAAUACCUGGGGUCCAUGACGGUACCGUAAGAAUAAGCACCGGCUAACUACGUGCCAGCCGCCGCGGUAAAAC
rnacentral:rRNA from 1 species